CAGGCCUAACACAUGCAAGUCGAGCGGACUUAUCCUUCGGGAUAGGUUAGCGGCGGACGGGUGAGUAACACGUAGGCAACCUGCCUGUAAGAUCGGGAUAACUACCGGAAACGGUAGCUAAGGCCGGAUAGCUGGUUUCUCCGCAUGGGGGAAUCAUGAAACAUGGGGCAACCUAUGGCUUACGGAUGGGCCUGCGGCGCAUUAGCUAGUUGGUGGGGUAAUGGCCCACCAAGGCGACGAUGCGUAGCCGACCUGAGAGGGUGAUCGGCCACACUGGGACUGAGACACGGCCCAGACUCCUACGGGAGGCAGCAGUAGGGAAUCUUCCGCAAUGGGCGCAAGCCUGACGGAGCAACGCCGCGUGAGUGAUGAAGGUUUUCGGAUCGUAAAGCUCUGUUGCCAAGGAAGAACGCCUCGGAGAGUAACUGCUCUGAGGGUGACGGUACUUGAGAAGAAAGCCCCGGCUAACUACGUGCCAGCAGCCGCGGUAAUACGUAGGGGGCAAGCGUUGUCCGGAAUUAUUGGGCGUAAAGCGCGCGCAGGCGGUCUUUUAAGUUUGGUGUUUAAGCCCGGGGCUCAACCCCGGUUCGCACUGAAAACUGGGAGACUUGAGUGCAGGAGAGGAAAGCGGAAUUCCACGUGUAGCGGUGAAAUGCGUAGAGAUGUGGAGGAACACCAGUGGCGAAGGCGGCUUUCUGGACUGUAACUGACGCUGAGGCGCGAAAGCGUGGGGAGCAAACAGGAUUAGAU
rnacentral:rRNA from 1 species